rnacentral:rRNA from 1 species
UCGGGAAUUUUGGGCAAUGGGCGCAAGCCUGAUCCAGCCAUGCCGCGUGAGUGAUGAAGGCCUUCGGGUCGUAAAGCUCUGUCGUAUGGGACUAACAAAUGAAGGUACCAUGCAAGAAAGGAUCGGCUAACUUCGUGCCAGCAGCCGCGGUAAGACGAGGGAUCCUAGCGUUGUUCGGAAUUAUUGGGCGUAAAGCGGGUGUAGGCGGACUUAUAAGUCAGGUGUGAAAUCCCAGGGCUCAACCCUGGAAGUGCACUUGAUACUGCAAGUCUUGAGUGUGGUAGAGGCUAUUAGAAUUCCUGGUGUAGUGGUGAAAUACGUAGAUAUCAGGAGGAAUACCGGAGGCGAAGGCGGAUAGCUGGGCCAACACUGACGCUGAGACCCGAAAGCGUGGGGAUCAAACAGGAUUAGAUACCCCCGUAGUCCCUGAGCGGGCUGGCAAGGCGCAU